CAGACUGAGGCCCUUCUUCGCGUGGAGUCCAUUUUUCAAAAUUGUUCCUCGCAAUUAAACGCCAGACCUGUUAGAUUAAUGUGAGAAGGGAGUGUGUGCUGAGGUCGCUCAUAAUCUACCUUGGAGAAGAUGUCUAAUAAAGAAAUCUAAUAAAGGAAUUUUCGGAUAUCCAAGCUGAUGAGGCAGUACAGGAUCUGCAAAAACUCACUUUGGCCAUUUUUGUUGUUCAAAACGGAGAUUCAAGACUGAUUCAUGCACCUGAAGAUGUGGGAAUUAUUAUUGAAGGUGUUGAAGUAAUUAAUGAACUUCCUUUAGUUGCAUCUGCAGUUGCCAUGUUGUUUGGACUAAUAUAUGCACUAAACCUGAGCUAUCCAAAAUAACUUAAAUGUACUUUUGAGGUUAUCCAAAAGGUGUUUAUGCAGCUGGAGCCACAGAGGAAAUCGUGCAAAGUACAAACUUUAUGUACCAAACUUCUUUCUGCUGAAACUGAGUGAUCGGGAUCUGUCCAAGUGGUAAAGACAAGUGAAUUUAUUAGGUACAUCUUAUUGUGCAUUUUAUCAGCUCUGCCUACCAUAUGGAUGCACUUUGUAGUACUUCAGUUACAGAAUGUUGUUCAUCUCUGCAUAGCUUUUUUUUUUUUUUUAAUCAAAAUUACCCUGAAUGCUUUCUCCAAUGAUUUACUGGUCAGGACUAACAUAGAGCAAGUACUAUUCGCGUGGUGGAUGAUUCUCAGCACUGUAGACACACUGAUGUGGUGGUCUGGUUAGGAUUUUAAUGUCAUGUUUUACACCCUUCAGUUACAUUAAUGACAAACGGUAGUUACUCAUUACAUAAGGUUCAUUAGUUUACAAGGUUCAAACACAGUCAUGGACAAUUUUGUAUCUCCAAUUCAUGUUUUUGUACUGUGUGAGGAAACCGACGGCAGAUGCUUUUUUUUAUCCAAAGCAGCUUGCAGUACUGUGACAGUAUACUUUCUAAGCAAUUGAGAGUUAAGGGCCUUGCUCAAGGGCCCAACAGUGGCAACCCGGCAGUGGUGUGGCUUGAACCUUCUGUUCCUUAGUCCAUCACCUUAACCACAAGGCUAGCACUGCACCAAGUGUUUAAAAACUCCAGCAGCACUGCUGUGUCUGAUCCACUAGUACCGGUGUGACACACACUGAGUCAUCCACCACCCAAAUAGUACCUGCUUUUUGGUGGUCCUCUGGGGGUCUAGACCAAUAAAGAACAAAGUAAAGCAGGCCAAGUAUGCAGUACAGCAGAUAGACUAUAGCCUCUAAUUGCACAACUACAAAGUUAAUCUGUAUGUAAAUAAGUGUAGAAACAAAACCUUUCAGAAUGUUUUGGAAGUGUUUUGUAAAGUUUGGUGUUUGGCUUUUUGUACCCUGUUCUGUCUGCUUGUUGCAAACCUGGGUGAGGGAGGGGUUGGUUGUGUUGUUUAUAACAUUUUAUAAUGUCUCCAGAAUACUGAAAAACUAACUGGAUUGUGUUUUGGAUUGCAAAAUAAACAAUUUGAAAACAA